rnacentral:rRNA from 1 species
CAGUCGCCGCGGGAAUACGAAGGGUGCAAGCGUUACUCGGAAUUACUGGGCGUAAAGCGUGCGUAGGUGGUGGUUUAAGUCCGUUGUGAAAGCCCUGGGCUCAACCUGGGAAUUGCAGUGGAUACUGGGUCACUAGAGUGUGGUAGAGGAUAGUGGAAUUUCCGGUGUAGCAGUGAAAUGCGUAGAGAUCUGGAGGAAUACCGGUGGCGAAGGCGGCCCCCUGGACAAAGACUGACGCUCAGGUGCGAAAGCGUGGGGAGCAAACAGGAUUAGAUACCCCCGUGUCCCUGUCUCUUAUACA